rnacentral:rRNA from 1 species
AGCGAACGCUGGCGGCAGGCCUAACACAUGCAAGUCGAACGAACCUUUCGGGGUUAGUGGCGGACGGGUGAGUAACACGUGGGAACGUGCCUUUAGGUUCGGAAUAACUCAGGGAAACUUGUGCUAAUACCGAAUGUGCCCUUCGGGGGAAAGAUUUAUCGCCUUUAGAGCGGCCCGCGUCUGAUUAGCUAGUUGGUUGAGGUAAUGGCUCACCAAGGCGACGAUCAGUAGCUGGUCUGAGAGGAUGAUCAGCCACAUUGGGACUGAGACACGGCCCAAACUCCUACGGGAGGCAGCAGUGGGGAAUCUUGCGCAAUGGGCGAAGGCCUGACGCAGCCAUGCCGCGUGAAUGAUGAAGGUCUUAGGAUUGUAAAAUUCUUUCACCGGGGACGAUAAUGACGGUACCCGGAGAAGAAGCCCCGGCUAACUUCGUG